CAGCAUGCCCAGUUAAAUUGAAUUUCAGGUAUGCAAUGAAUUUUAUUUAAGUACAAGCACAUUCUGUGCAAUAUUUGGGACAUUCUUAGGCUAAACAAUCAUAACCAAUUUUUUAAUUGAAAUUCAAAUUUAACGAGUGUCCU
rnacentral:miRNA from 1 species